rnacentral:sRNA from 1 species
UGAUGGCGGUUUUACAGAUAUCCUCAG